rnacentral:lncRNA from 1 species
CGAAUUUACUAAAGGACAUAUUGAUGAUGAAUCUUGUUAUAUCUCAUGUUAUUUAACUCAUAUUUGAUGAAUUGUGGUGCCGGAUAUUGAAAACGGUUAUGGAAACGUAUGGUUCCUUUAGUAAACGAUUUGUACAACAAUGAGAAAAUCGAGUUCAUUGAGGUACUUUGGGUGUAAUUGGAGUAUUGGAAGUGUAAUGAAUAUAUUUGGAGUUGAAUCGGAUGUUUUGGUUAAAUCAAUGGU